GAUGAACGCUGGCGGCGUGCCUAAUACAUGCAAGUCGAGCGGCAGCAUGACCUUCGGGUUGAUGGCGAGCGGCGGACGGCAGAGUAACGCGUAGGAAUAUACCCCAAAGUGAGGGAUAACUGCCCGAAAGGGUGGCUAAUACCGCAUAUGGUCUUUGUGAUUAAAGGAUUUAUCCGCUUUGGGAAUAGCCUGCGUUCGAUUAGCUUGUUGGUGAGGUAAUGGCUCACCAAGGCGACGAUCGAUAGCUGGUCUGAGAGGAUGAUCAGCCUGACUGGAACUGAGACACGGUCCAGACUCCUACGGGAGGCAGCAGUAGGGAAUUUUCCACAAUGGGCGAAAGCCUGAUGGAGCAACGCCGCGUGCAGGAUGAAGGCCUUCGGGUUGUAAACUGCUUUUAUGUGCGAAGAAUAUGACGGUAACACAUGAAUAAGGGUCGGCUAACUACGUGCCAGCAGCCGCGGUAACAC
rnacentral:rRNA from 1 species